rnacentral:rRNA from 1 species
GUCUACGGCCAUGCCACCCUGAACACGCCCGAUCUCGUCUGAUCUCGGAAGCUAAGCAGGGUCACGCACAGUUAGUACUUGGAUGGGAGACCACCUAGGAAGACCGGGUGCUGUAGGUA